rnacentral:tRNA from 1 species
GGCGGACAACGAAACUCUUUCUUUUUUGGAAAAGAAUGUCGAUUAGAGAGAUUUAA